CAAGAGCAUACUCAUGGGCUCAUGGCCUGGGAGCGAAUCGGGCAUCCUGGAUCAUGACGGAAGCUGGAAGCCGCGGGGGCUGCCCGAAGAAGAGGGCGACGAAUCGGGGGUGGAAGAGGGUGUGUCUGUGGUUAUCGCCUUCCAAGACGACGCGACUUGAUGAUUUAGAUUCGCCUUCCGAGACGAUGCGACGCGGCAAUUCAAAUUUCUCUCCUUCCUCGCCUCAACGACAUGCUCUGCUUCUCUAGCUUGUAGGGGUAUGAGGAGAGAGCUCUAUUGUUUGCAGCGGCUGCAUCAUUUCGACAAGUGAUAUGAUUGAUCUUUGCUAUGUGGACCAAUGGCAUGAUCUGUACCUAAGGUUGGAGAUGCUGAAUUCGAACACGUGAGAAAUCACUGAUGCGCAUGGCUGGCAGCUUUCGCACGAAGAAGUAAAAUUGGCAGGACCAAUUAGGAUGCAUACCUGAAGGAGUGAAUCUACUGGUUCAGCUGAAAAUUGAUCUCUAUUUGGUUUCUGAUUUUGCGUUUGGUUUUGCCGUCCGCUCGUCCUUGGUAUGCUCAUCCAUCUUGGCUGCUCUGCUUGCCUGCUUCUCCUCUCUAACUCAGGUUCUGCGAUCUCUUGUGUUGCUGCAUCGCGAUCUUCUGCUUUGUUGCAUCUCUGUUCUGUCAUCGAGAGGACGUGUCUGUACUUCUGGGGUAGAAUUCAAAUUGUGAGGGAUGGUUGUGCUCAGAUUUGGUCGCUGCUGGUCGGUUCGUGACUUCAGCGCAUGAAAACCUGCAACUGCUAUCAAGCGAACCACAGGAGGGAGCAGCAGGCAUAGAAGAAAUCGCAAGCCAAUUUUGCUCAAUUGUAGCAUCUUCCACUGACAAUAAGUCUGCACAGCAGCCCGGUGAGGCUGAUGUUCUUGCUCAGUAUAAGCCAACAAUGAAGAAACUGACCAAGCUAUCUUUCAUGAUCAGUUACACACCAAGCCUAUAUUUUUGCUGCUUCUACAUGUUGCUAUGAUGGCCAUUCAGCCCAUUUUCUUGAACCUGCACUACAACGAGAGAUCUGGGCAGCUUCUUUGUGGCUUCCAAACUUGAAA